AUGUGUUUCCAUCAUUCCGUAUACGUGUUAAUUCUGGGAUCGAAGUUCCACCUUGGCUAGAGGGGUGGGAACUCAUGAGUUUAUAAGUGGAUGGAGAUACAAUUAUUUGAAGGAACAUCUCUAUGGCCUGUUAGGAAUCAUGGACUUCCACAAUGGUAUGAUAUUGUCCACUUUGAGCAUAAUCUCUCAUGGCUUUGUUUUGGGUUUUCCCAAAAGACCAAAAAACCUCAUACUUAUGGACAUGUAUUCCUUAUUUAUAAACCCAUGAUCAUUCCCUAAAUUAGCCAUUGUGGGACUCCCUCCCAACAAUCCUCAACAUGGCCUUUUAUUGAGAAGAUUAUGAAGGUUGUGACUAAGAUCUUACAUUGGCUAAGAAGGAAGAAGAUCAAGAGUUUGUAAGGUCAGUAUUUCGAGACUUUUGAAUCGAAUCUUAAAAGUAAAUUCAUGUGACUUCAAGUUCAAAGUAGAUGAUAUCUUACGAACGAAGAGCUGAUUGUCCUAACAAUAUGGAGACACAUUCAAAGCAUACUCUAGUGGCCAACCACGUACUCUACUAAAUCAAGCCAAGUUGGUGAAAGCAAAAGUUAUUCACCUCAAAAAAGACCUCCGCAUGGCCUGUGAAAUCAGAGACAAUGCCACCUUUGAGCAAACUCCAGCAGCCCUGCUUGGCUCUGGUUUCACCACCAUGAAGAAUCCGACCACCUUUACUAUUUCUGAAUAGAACAGCGACAGAAUAGUCAUAAGAGAAACCUCGGAUGGUUAUGAACUUCCCUGAAUUGUUCAGAAAAUCAAUUUUGUUGACUCAAAUUGAUGAAAAAACGAACUUAUUAGUGUUAUAUUAUGUGACAAUAAAGAGGAAAAAACCUGAAAGUAUCAAAAUGAAGGGAAGAAAAAAUAGGGUGAGAGCUCUGAAAAUGUUCAUCUCUUU